rnacentral:rRNA from 1 species
AUUGAACGCUGGCGGCAGGCUUAACACAUGCAAGUCGAGCGGAGCGAGGGUGCUUGCACCUUAGCUUAGCGGCGGACGGGUGAGUAAUGCUCAGGAAUCUGCCUAUUAGUGGGGGACAACAUUCCGAAAGGAAUGCUAAUACCGCAUACGCCCUACGGGGGAAAGCAGGGGAUCUUCGGACCUUGCGCUAAUAGAUGAGCCUAAGUCGGAUUAGCUAGUUGGUGGGGUAAAGGCCUACCAAGGCGACGAUCUGUAGCGGGUCUGAGAGGAUGAUCCGCCACACUGGGACUGAGACACGGCCCAGACUCCUACGGGAGGCAGCAGUGGGGAAUAUUGGACAAUGAGCGGAAGCCUGAUCCAGCCAUGCCGCGUGUGUGAAGAAGGCCUCUUGGUUGUAAAGCACUUUAAGCGAGGAGGAGGCUCUUAAGGUUAAUACCCUUGAUGAGUGGACGUUACUCGCAGAAUAAGCACCGGCUAACUCUGUGCCAGCCGCCGCGGUAAAAC